CUUCUGUCCCCAGGUAGAGUGGAUUGGCAUGAAGACUGUGGAUGUGGGCAGACAAGGCAGGCAAUCACAAAGGAGAAGCUGAGGCCAUGUGAAGUUGAAGGGUCAAACAGUCUCAGGAUGCAUGUUAGCACUGAGUCAUCUCUGUGGAUCCAGAAGAAUUCAUUUGGAAAAGAAAGCGAAGAAGCUGCCCUGAGCCACCACAAAUGAUCUGCCACAACUACACUAGUGAGGAUGAACACUUAAGAGCCUGGUGUAAACCUCUGUGCUGCUGAAUGCCUAGCUGAUGGUAUACAAGAAAACAGGAAGUUUCAGGAGUCAGUUCUCCCAGGAUGGAGCCCCCAGCACGAGAAAGAAGUGGUCCUGUUGGAGAGAGUGUGGAAGAGACCAUAAGUAUGCUCAGAAAGCUUAAACACCUCUCCUUUGAAGACAGGCUGAGGAAGCUGGGCUUGUUCAGCUUGGAGAAGAGAAGUCUCUGUGGAUACCUCAUUGUGGCCUUUCACUGCCUAAAGAGAGCUUGCAAGAAAGAUGGAGAGCAACUUUACGUGGACAUGUAGUGAUAAGACAAGGGCUUAUUCCUGCUUGGAUGAAUGUUCCUUGUCAACUUCUUGAAAAAUAUGUGGACCAUAGUGCAGGCUCACUGUUGUCACAGCCAACUGGUGGUGG